CCUACGGGUGACAGCAGUGAGGAAUAUUGGUCAAUGGGCGGGAGCCUGAACCAGCCAAGUCGCGUGAGGGAAGACGGUCCUAUGGAUUGUAAACCUCUUUAGGCGGGGAGCAAUGCCGGGCACGCGUGCCCGGAGGUAGAGUACCCGCAGAAUAAGCAUCGGCUAACUCCGUGCCAGCAGCCGCGGUAAUACGGAGGAUGCGAGCGUUAUCCGGAUUUAUUGGGUUUAAGGGGUGCGUAGGCGGAUUUUUAAGUCAGCGGUAAAAUGUCCGGGCUCAACCCGGGCCGGCCGUUGAAACUGGGGAUCUGGAGGGGGCUAGAAGUAUGCGGAAUGCGUGGUGUAGCGGUGAAAUGCAUAGAUAUCACGCAGAACUCCGAUUGCGAAGGCAGCAUACCGGCGCGCGACUGACGCUGAGGCACGAAAGCGUGGGGAUCGAACAGGAUUAGAUACCCUGGUAGUC
rnacentral:rRNA from 1 species